rnacentral:rRNA from 1 species
AACGAACGCUGGCGGCAUGCCUAACACAUGCAAGUCGAACGAGACCUUCGGGUCUAGUGGCGCACGGGUGCGUAGCGCGUGGGAACCUGCCUUUAGGUUCGGGAUAACUCAGAGAAAUUUGAGCUAAUACCGGAUGAUGUCUUCGGACCAAAGAUUUAUCGCCUUUAGAUGGGCCCGCGUUGGAUUAGCUAGUUGGUGGGGUAAAGGCCUACCAAGGCGACGAUCCAUAGCUGGUCUGAGAGGAUGAUCAGCCACACUGGGACUGAGACACGGCCCAGACUCCUACGGGAGGCAGCAGUGGGGAAUAUUGGACAAUGGGCGAAAGCCUGAUCCAGCAAUGCCGCGUGAGUGAUGAAGGCCUUAGGGUUGUAAAGCUCUUUUACCCGAGAUGAUAAUGACAGUAGCGGGAGAAUAAGCUCCGGCUAACUCCGUG